UGGGGAAUAUUGCACAAUGGGCGCAAGCCUGAUGCAGCCAUGCCGCGUGUAUGAAGAAGGCCUUCGGGUUGUAAAGUACUUUCAGCGGGGAGGAAGGGAGUAAAGUUAAUACCUUUGCUCAUUGACGUUACCCGCAGAAGAAGCACCGGCUAACUCCGUGCCAGCAGCCGCGGUAAUACGGAGGGUGCAAGCGUUAAUCGGAAUUACUGGGCGUAAAGCGCACUCAGGCGGUUUGUUAAGUCAGAUGUGAAAUCCCCGGGCUCAACCUGGGAACUGCAUCUGAUACUGGCAAGCUUGAGUGUCGUAGAGGGGGGUAGAAUUCCAGGUGUAGCGGUGAAAUGCGUAGAGAUCUGGAGGAAUACCGGUGGCGAAGGCGGCCCCCUGGACGAAGACUGACGCUCAGGUGCGAAAGCGUGGGGAGCAAACA
rnacentral:rRNA from 1 species